rnacentral:rRNA from 1 species
GAUGAACGCUGGCGGCGUGCCUAAUACAUGCAAGUCGAGCGAACAGACGAGGAGCUUGCUCCUCUGACGUUAGCGGCGGACGGGUGAGUAACACGUGGAUAACCUACCUAUAAGACUGGGAUAACUUUGGGAAACCGGAGCUAAUACCGGAUAAUAUAUUGAACCGCAUGGUUCAAUAGUGAAGGACGGUUUUGCUGUCACUUAUAGAUGGAUCCGCGCCGCAUUAGCUAGUUGGUAAGGUAACGGCUUACCAAGGCAACGAUGCGUAGCCGACCUGAGAGGGUGAUCGGCCACACUGGAACUGAGACACGGUCCAGACUCCUACGGGAGGCAGCAGUAGGGAAUCUUCCGCAAUGGGCGAAAGCUUGACGGAGCAACGCCGCGUGAGUGAUGAAGGUCUUCGGAUCGUAAAACUCUGUUAUUAGGGAAGAACAAAUGUGUAAGUAACUAUGCACGUCUUGACGGUACCUAAUCAGAAAGCCACGGCUAACUACGUG